CAGUAGCCACGGUAAUGCGUAGGUGGCAAGCGUUGUCCGGAAUUAUUGGGCGUAAAGGGCUCGCAGGCGGUUUCUUAAGUCUGAUGUGAAAGCCCCCGGCUCAACCGGGGGGGGUCAUUGGAAGCUGGGAAACUUGAGUGCAGAAGAGGAGAGUGGAAUUCCACGUGUAGCGGUGAAAUGCGUAGAGAUGUGGAGGAACACCAGUGGCGAAGGCGACUCUCUGGUCUGUAACUGACGCUGAGGAGCGAAAGCGUGGGGAGCGAGCAGGAUUAGAGACCCCAGUAGUCCCUGUCUCUUAUAC
rnacentral:rRNA from 1 species